rnacentral:rRNA from 1 species
GAUGAACGCUGGCUACAGGCUUAGCACAUGCAAGUCGAGGGGAAACGCCGGGGAAGCUUGCUUCCCCGGGCGUCGACCGGCGCACGGGUGAGUAACGCGUAUCCAACCUGCCUCUGACUGAGGGAUAACCCGUCGCAAGUCGGCCUAAUACCUCAUGGUAUCGUCUGCGGGCAUCCAACGACGAUUAAAGAUUUCAUCGGUCAGGGAUGGGGAUGCGUCUGAUUAGCUUGUUGGCGGGGUAACGGCCCACCAAGGCUACGAUCAGUAGGGGUUCUGAGAGGAAGGUCCCCCACAUCGGAACUGAGACACGGUCCAAACUCCGACGGGAGGCAGCAGUGAGGAAGAUAGGGCAAGGGGCGAUAGCCUGAACCAGCCAAGUAGCGUGCAGGAAGACGGCCCUAUGAGUUGUAAACUGCUUUUAAGCGAGGAUAAAGUGAGGGACUGGUCCCUCAUUGCAGGUACCGCAUGAAUAAGGACCGGCUAAUUCCGUG